AAAAGUUAGGACAUACUUACCC
rnacentral:miRNA from 1 species